UUGCGGCAGGCCUAACACAUGCAAGUCGAACGGUAACAGGAAGCAGCUUGCUGCUUCGCUGACGAGUGGCGGACGGGUGAGUAAUGUCUGGGAAACUGCCUGAUGGAGGGGGAUAACUACUGGAAACGGUAGCUAAUACCGCAUAACGUCGCAAGACCAAAGAGGGGGACCUUCGGGCCUCUUGCCAUCGGAUGUGCCCAGAUGGGAUUAGCUAGUAGGUGGGGUAACGGCUCACCUAGGCGACGAUCCCUAGCUGGUCUGAGAGGAUGACCAGCCACACUGGAACUGAGACACGGUCCAGACUCCUACGGGAGGCAGCAGUGGGGAAUAUUGCACAAUGGGCGCAAGCCUGAUGCAGCCAUGCCGCGUGUAUGAAGAAGGCCUUCGGGUUGUAAAGUACUUUCAGCGGGGAGGAAGGCGGUGAGGUUAAUAACCUUGUCGAUUGACGUUACCCGCAGAAGAAGCACCGGCUAACUCCGUGCCAGCAGCCGCGGUAAUACGGAGGGUGCAAGCGUUAAUCGGAAUUACUGGGCGUAAAGCGCACGCAGGCGGUCUGUCAAGUCGGAUGUGAAAUCCCCGGGCUCAACCUGGGAACUGCAUUCGAAACUGGCAGGCUAGAGUCUUGUAGAGGGGGGUAGAAUUCCAGGUGUAGCGGUGAAAUGCGUAGAGAUCUGGAGGAAUACCGGUGGCGAAGGCGGCCCCCUGGACAAAGACUGACGCUCAGGUGCGAAAGCGUGGGGGAGCAAACAGGAUUAGAUACCCUGGUAGUCCACGCCGUAAACGAUGUCGACUUGGAGGUUGUGCCCUUGAGGCGUGGCUUCCGGAGCUAACGCGUUAAGUCGACCGCCUGGGGAGUACGGCCGCAAGGUUAAAACUCAAAUGAAUUGACGGGGGCCCGCACAAGCGGUGGAGCAUGUGGUUUAAUUCGAUGCAACGCGAAGAACCUUACCUACUCUUGACAUCCAGAGAACUUUCCAGAGAUGGAUUGGUGCCUUCGGGAACUCUGAGACAGGUGCUGCAUGGCUGUCGUCAGCUCGUGUUGUGAAAUGUUGGGUUAAGUCCCGCAACGAGCGCAACCCUUAUCCUUUGUUGCCAGCGGUCCGGCCGGGAACUCAAAGGAGACUGCCAGUGAUAAACUGGAGGAAGGUGGGGAUGACGUCAAGUCAUCAUGGCCCUUACGAGUAGGGCUACACACGUGCUACAAUGGCGCAUACAAAGAGAAGCGACCUCGCGAGAGCAAGCGGACCUCAUAAAGUGCGUCGUAGUCCGGAUUGGAGUCUGCAACUCGACUCCAUGAAGUCGGAAUCGCUAGUAAUCGUGGAUCAGAAUGCCACGGUGAAUACGUUCCCGGGCCUUGUACACACCGCCCGUCACACCAUGGGAGUGGGUUGCAAAAGAAGUAGGUAGCUUAACCUUCGGGAGGGCGCUUACCACUUUGUGAUUCAUGACUGGGGU
rnacentral:rRNA from 1 species